rnacentral:lncRNA from 1 species
GACGAGACGACAAGUCAAGAAGCAAACAAAAUUGGUGGUACCGAAACAACAAAUUAUUACUAUUUAUAAUAAAUCUUUUUUCUUUUUGUUAUUACAAUUAAAAAAAAAAAAAACAAAAAGGUUCUCUUGGUCCCACUUGUACGUGGCCUCAAUCUUCACAUCAUGGCCCCACACGUUUCGCACGUGCAACUUUACACAUCCUCUUUUUUCUUUUUUCUUUUUUACUAUUCUUACCACACACACACACACAAAAAAAAGAUAUUAAUUUGUAAAUUGUUUCGUGCCCUUAUCAUUAAGUAUUUAAUCACCG